rnacentral:rRNA from 1 species
CCUACGGGAGGCAGCAGUGAGGAAUAUUGGUCAAUGGACGAGAGUCUGAACCAGCCAAGUAGCGUGAAGGAUGACUGCCCUAUGGGUUGUAAACUUCUUUUAUAUGGGAAUAAAAUGUGCCACGUGAGGGCUUUUGUAUGUACCAUAUGAAUAAGGAUCGGCUAACUCCGUGCCAGCAGCCGCGGUAAUACGGAGGAUCCGAGCGUUAUCCGGAUUUAUUGGGGUUAAAGGGAGCGUAGGUGGAUUGUUAAGUCAGUUGUGAAAGUUUCCGGCUCAACCGUAAAAUUGCAGUUGAAACUGGCAGUCUUGAGUACAGUAGAGGUGGGCGGAAUUCGUGGUGUAGCGGUGAAAUGCUUAGAUAUCACGAAGAACUCUGAUUGCGAAGGCAGCUCACUGGACUGCAACUGACACUGAGGCUCGAAAGUGUGGGUAUCAAACAGGAUUAGAUACCCUUGUAGUC